rnacentral:rRNA from 1 species
CGCGGCCUAUCAGCUUGUUGGUGAGGUAACGGUUCACCAAGGCAUCGACGGGUAGCUGGUCUGAGAGGACGAUCAGCCACACUGGGACUGAGACACGGCCCAGACUCCUACGGGAGGCAGCAGUAGGGAAUCUUGCGCAAUGGGCGAAAGCCUGACGCAGCAACGCCGCGUGGGGGAUGAAUGCCUUCGGGUUGUAAACCCCUUUCAGCAGGGACGAAAAUGACGGUACCUGCAGAAGAAGCUCCGGCCAACUACGUGCCAGCAGCCGCGGUAAUACGUAGGGAGCGAGCGUUGUCCGGAAUUAUUGGGCGUAAAGAGCUCGUAGGCGGUUCAGUAAGUCGGGUGUGAAAACUCAAGGCUCAACCUUGAGACGCCACUCGAUACUGCUGUGACUUGAGUCCGGUAGAGGAGUGUGGAAUUCCUGGUGUAGCGGUGAAAUGCGCAGAUAUCAGGAGGAACACCAGCGGCGAAGGCGGCACUCUGGGCCGGUACUGACGCUGAGGAGCGAAAGCAUGGGGAGCAAACAGGAUUAGAUACCCUGGUAGUCCAUGCCGUAAACGUUGGGCACUAGGUAUGGGAUCAUAUCAACGGAUUCCGUGCCGUAGCUAACGCAUUAAGUGCCCCGCCUGGGGAGUACGG